CGUAUCACCCAAGACAACUUUACGGAGUUGACGAUUGACGGAGCGAAGCGACGUCAAAGCGUUCAUUAAAGUCGAGUUGGCUUAGGGAUACGUUCGUUGGGUAGGGGAGCGUUCUGUAAGCCUGUGAAGGUGUGUCGUGAGGCAUGCUGGAGGUAUCAGAAGUGCGAAUGCUGACAUAAGUAACGAUAAAGCGGGUGAAAAGCCCGCUCGCCGGAAGACCAAGGGUUCCUGUCCAACGUUAAUCGGGGCAGGGUGAGUCGACCCCUAAGGCGAGGCCGAAAGGCGUAGUCGAUGGGAAACGGGUUAAUAUUCCCGUACUUGGUGUUACUGCGAAGGGGGGACGGAGAAGGCUAUGUUGGCCGGGCGACGGUUGUCCCGGUUUAAGCGUGUAGGUGUGUGUUCCAGGUAAAUCCGGUUCACUUUAACACUGAGGCGUGACGACGAGGCACUACGGUGCUGAAGCAACAAAU
rnacentral:rRNA from 1 species